rnacentral:rRNA from 1 species
UAGGGAAUCUUCGGCAAUGGGGGGAACCCUGACCGAGCAACGCCGCGUGAGUGAAGAAGGUUUUCGGAUCGUAAAGCUCUGUUGUUAAGGAAGAACGAGUGUGAGAAUGGAAAGUUCAUGCUGUGACGGUACUUAACCAGAAAGGGACGGCUAACUACGUGCCAGCAGCCGCGGUAAUACGUAGGUCCCGAGCGUUGUCCGGAUUUAUUGGGCGUAAAGCGAGCGCAGGCGGUUAGAAAAGUCUGAAGUGAAAGCCCCCGGCUCAACCGGGGAGGGUCAUUGGAAACUGGUUGACUUGAGUGCAGAAGAGGAGAGUGGAAUUCCAUGUGUAGCGGUGAAAUGCGUAGAUAUAUGGAGGAACACCAGUGGCGAAGGCGACUCUCUGGUCUGUAACUGACGCUGAGGUUCGAAAGCGUGGGUAGCAAACAGG